AGGCAGGCAAUAGAGCCUCGAAAGUCUUCCUUUGCAGCUUUACCAAUGGUUGCUAUUAUACAAAUGGGGCCAACUGUGAAAUUGGGUUGGGUCAUCUCUAGUGUCAAUGGACCUGCUUAAAUAACAGGGGAAAAAAAAAAAAAAAAAAAAAAAGUUAGUUCCUGGGGUAAGGUCCUGCUGCAGCUCCAGCCCGGAGAAGCUACCCAGCACUGUCUGCUUUGGGAAGAGGUGGGCAAGGGUAUUCUCUCUGGUUUAGCUUAUGGGGUUUCUACUUUGCUUCAUUUCACUGUGUAUAUAUGAUACUCACUGGUGGGUAGCUGCAGACCUUUCUGAGCCCCAUACUGGGGUAGUAUUUUCCCAAUCAGCCUGAAAAUACUGUGCAGUGCCUGGAGCACAAAGAAACAGCUCUCCCCCAAAAACACCCAAGUCAACUGAACUACAGCAAAAAAAACGUGUCCUUUGGGAAUAACCACUUGUUCUCUUAGCCGAAGAGUGACCUGCUGAUGCUUAGUUUCAGCUGGAGAGGGAAAGCCAUUUGUGCACUCUGAUGUAUGUAUGCGGCCUAAAGCCUUCACAACUACAAUACUACCACUGUGAACGCAGUUGCCUCCAUUUCAAUGAAUCCAGCUGUGGAGAACUCAAAGGGAAAUUAGCUGUGCAACCAUUAAAAAUGACUCAAAUGCAUUUCUAUGCACAAAAAUGUCAUAGCAUUAAAAUCUUGAGUCUUUUCAGGACGUGUCCCCUUUGUGUGGCUGGGAAUUGCCCUUCUCUAAUAGCAUUAACCUCCCGUUUCUAUCCCUUCAUGACCAUCAGGCAUUAAAGAUGAGAGAGUUUUUGUUGUACAGGGUUUUAAUGCCUAGAAAAGCACCACUAACCCAAGGCUGAAUCUGAAUCUCGUCUGUCCUGAGUAGGGAUGGUUUGGGGAGAAAUGCCUUUGAAACUGAUGAGUUGUUUGUAACACUAGAAUAGAUCUCAGUGAAGAUGGAUUAAUGGGUAGAGUACAGCUGAGCUGGUGAAAGGUACAUGAUUAAUUCAGUUUUGACAGGAUUGUAUAAUUUAUAGCCUGGAUAACACCUCCAAUUAGGCAUAUCACAUUCUUUAUUUCUGUGGCUGUAAAGACGAGGAGUACUACACCUGAAUUUCAGGCCCAGCAUGCUUGGUGCUGCACAAUCAGAAAUAAAGAUACAAUGAAAGAGAGAGCACCUGAGAAACGCUGAGACCAUUCUGGAAAGCAGUGCUGCUCACUAAUGAAAUAGUGGACUUCUGAAACUUUAAUGCUUAAUGAAUUCAUGACAUAAAUUGCUUAAUAAAUUCAUGACAUUCAUUUCCAUAAA